rnacentral:rRNA from 1 species
AACGAACGCUGGCGGCAUGCCUAACACAUGCAAGUCGAACGAGACCUUCGGGUCUAGUGGCGCACGGGUGCGUAACGCGUGGGAACCUGCCCUUAGGUUCGGAAUAACUCCCCGAAAGGGGUGCUAAUACCGGAUAAUCUCUUCGGACCAAAGAUUUAUGGCCUUUGGAUGGGCCCGCGUUGGAUUCGCUAGUUGGUAGGGUAAAAGCCUACCAAGGCGACGAUCCAUAGCUGGUCUGAGAGGAUGAUCAGCCACACUGGGACUGAGACACGGCCCAGACUCCUACGGGAGGGAGCAGUGGGGAAUAUUGGACAAUGGGCGAAAGUCUGAUCCAGCAAUGCCGCGUGAGUGAUGAAGGCGUUAGGGUUGUAAAGCUCUUUUACCCGGGAUGAUAAUGACAGUACCGGGAGAAUAAGCUCCGGCUAACUCCGUG